GAUGAAGAACGCAGCGAAAUGCGAUAAGUAAUGUGAAUUGCAGAAUUCAGUGAAACAUCGAAUCUUUGAACGCACAUUGCGCCCGCCAGUAUUCUGGCGAGCAUGCCUGUUCGAGCGUCAUUUCAACCAUCAAGCCCCAGGCUUGUGUUGGAGCCCUGCGGCUGCCGCAGCCUCCCAAAACCAGUGGCGGGCUCGCUAUCACACCGAGUGCAGUAGUUUACUCUUCGCUCAGGGCGUGUGGCGGGUGCUAGCCGUGAAACCCCCAACUUCUCAAGGUUGACCUCGGAUCAGGUAGGAAUACCCGCUGAACUUAAGCAUAUCAAUAAGCGGAGGA
rnacentral:misc_RNA from 1 species